GUGAGAAACACGGAAACGGGCGUAUCCAUCUGCUUUACAAGUUACACCUGUUGCUGGUACUUUCAUACCUUGUGUAGAGGCUGUGGAUGUGUUGAUGCAAUCUCGGGACGAGUCUCAUUCAAGCGAUUGACAAACAUUGCUCUUCACAAUCACUGACAGACGAGCCGGUUGGGGUUCUGAGUUUCCCGCAGAGCUACCUGCAGAGGCGUGACUCACAGAGCUGCCUCUGUGACAGCAGGGGGGAUGGAUUC